GAUGAACGCUGGCGGCGUGCCUAAUACAUGCAAGUCGAGCGAACAGACGAGGAGCUUGCUCCUCUGACGUUAGCGGCGGACGGGUGAGUAACACGUGGAUAACCUACCUAUAAGACUUGGAUAACUUCGGGAAACCGGAGCUAAUACCGGAUAAUAUAUUGAACCGCAUGGUUCAAUAGUGAAAGACGGUUUUGCUGUCACUUCUAGAUGGAUCCGCGCCGCAUUAGCUAGUUGGUAAGGUAACGGCUUACCAAGGCAACGAUGCGUAGCCGACCUGAGAGGGUGAUCGGCCACACGGGAACGGAGACACGGUCCAGACUCCUAAGGGAGGCAGCAGUAGGGAAUCUUGCGCAAUGGGCGAAAGCCUGACGGAGCAACGCCGCGUGAGUGAUGAAGGUCUUCGGAUCGUAAAACUCUGUUAUGAGGGAAGAACAAAUGUGUAAGUAACUAUGCACGUCUUGACGGUACCUAAUCAGAAAGCCACGGCUAACUACGUG
rnacentral:rRNA from 1 species